UACAGAGGUCCCGAGCGUUGUUCGGAUUCACUGGGCGUAAAGGGUGCGUAGGUGGUUGGGUAAGUUUGAUGUGAAAGCUCAGGGCUUAACCCUGAAAUGGCAUUGAAUACUACUUAACUGGAGGUUUGGAGGGGGGACUGGAAUUCCUGGUGUAGCGGUGAAAUGCGCAGAUAUCAGGAGGAACACCGAUGGCGAAGGCAGGUCUCUGGGCAUUAACUGACGCUGAGGAGCGAAAGCAUGGGGAGCGAACAGG
rnacentral:rRNA from 1 species